ensembl:lncRNA
UUUGCCUCCUUAGUUGAUUUCCUAGAAUACAUAGCUGCUACGGUUCAUGAAUCUCUAAGGGUAUUUUGGGGUGACCAUCUGCACCACAGAAAAUAACUAUUCAAUAAUAAUUAAGGGGGGAAAAAAAUUUCCCCUCCUGACAGCCUUUUCAACAAUAUCUGUGAUACUGUGAUGGCUUCUGACCACAAAUCAGGAGUCUAUUGAAAAGUUCAAGUUAUGGACCCUGUGGGUUUGAUUCAGAUAUUUUCCUUUCAUUCAGUCGUCUUUAUUAUUAUUAUUUUUAAAUAAUGUCCCUUAACCACUUGCCAUUGUAAGUAAAUUCUGGAAGUUAACUGUGAAGUGUGUAAUUUGAAGGAUCGCUGCAGUAAUUCUAACCAGUUUGUUUUUUGCCACAGUAUUAACACGGUAUGAAGGAGCUAAUGACUUUUUUCUAUUUACACAGUAUUCUUUAGAAUAAUUUUAUAUGGCUUAUAAGGGUUGGUAUUUUGUAUUUUAUAGAUAUUUCACUGGCAUUUAGGUAACUAGGCAUUUCUAGCACUGCAUUUUGUGGUGCAAUUAUUGACAGUUGUGUAGUAUUCCAAGAAAUGACUAUACUAUAGGCAUUAUUGUAGCUAAUUGAGGGAAAGAUUCAAUGAGGGAAUAGGACGAGUGUUGCACAGACAUAUUUGAAUAAGACACAACUGGCUCCUUGGGUCAGAUAAUGCAGAUGUUAGUCAGUUUGCUUUUAGAAGUAAAGUAUGGCUUUUAAAGUGAUAGGUUCUAUUUACAUUGUAAUUACAAAGAAAACUGCACAUAAUUUUUUUGCUUGGUAUUGACACAUUGCCAUAUUUUCUCCCUGCAUAUUCUUUAAUUUUUGUUUGUAUAUUUGCUUUACAUAACCUUUACUUUCCAUCCAGCACCUAUCCUGUGAACAUGUAUUUAAUUUGUAUUUUUCUUGUGUAGAAUUUUAAUUUGAGAUAUAGCAAUGCUAAUGAAAUCUUAAAUGUUAAUAAAGUAUUUACUCCACAUUUUAUUGAAUCUUCAGUGUGGUCUGUACUCAAAUUAGUCAAAUCAAAUACCACAUUACCUGGUAUUUACAGCCUUUGAAUAUACUUCAAUGUUUCUUAUGAGAUAUGGUUACCAAAAAAAAUAAAAAAACGUUCGG